rnacentral:rRNA from 1 species
UACGGGGGGGGCAAGCGUUGUUCGGAAUUACUGGGCGUAAAGGGUUCGUAGGUUGCCAACUAAGUCAGACGUGAAAUCCCUCGGCUUAACCGGGGAACUGCGUCUGAUACUGGAUGGCUUGAGUUCGGGAGAGGGAUGCGGAAUUCCAGGUGUAGCGGUGAAAUGCGUAGAUAUCUGGAGGAACACCGGUGGCGAAGGCGGCAUCCUGGACCGACACUGACACUGAGGAGCGAAAGCCAGGGGAGCAAACGGG